GAGGCGGGGGCACCAGCGUGGGGUGAAGGCAGAGGCACCACGGGAAUGUAAAUUGCAGGACGCAUCCUGAGGCAGUGAGUGUUCGGGGCAUUCUUGUGGGUGGUCACUUGGGCCCUAGAUUAAAGGCAGAAACACAGAAAUGCCUUGGGGGACGUUGUAAACUUCAACAGCUCUAUCUGUUGUUUCAGGAAUGAGGGAGAAACAUUCACCAGAAGCUUCAGACUGGGAGGAGACAGAGUCUUUGAGGCAACCCAGGGGCUUCUUAGCUGCAGCUGUGUCUGCUUUGAAGUUCAGUCCACUCUCCCCAGGAAGCCAAGAGGCUCUCAAGUGCUUGCAGCAGAGAAGUUUCAUAGAACAGAAAGAGCAGACAGAGGAGAGUCCUGCUCCUCGCUUAGCUCAGCACAGCGAGUCCCCUGGCUUCAGCUUCCCUCCUGAGCACCUGACGGUUGUCGGUUUACUGUGACUCACUGCCAUUCUAUCUGCCUGGGCUUAUGUUUCCAGCAUCUCACCAGAGCUGUUGUGACCCAUCUCCUGGGCAAAGCCUUCCACGGAGAGGCUGCCGGGCCAGCAGGAGAGGAGACCCAAUCCAUCCAUCAGCAUUUGAAUAAUUCCAUCCACACAUACUUCUCUUCCAAACACCCGGGCUAUUUUCCUUUCCCUGAGCCAUGCAAGCCCAAGGAGCCAGCAGGGUUGCGUGCUCUCAGGAGUAGGACACGUCACAUCAACUUGAGUGCUCCAGGAGCCCUGCCACAAUGGUUUCUUUGUGAGAUCAUCUUUGCAGCGGUUUCCUGAAGCUCUGGCCUCCUUCCUGGUAUCUUCACACAUUCUAGGUGUUUCAAUUCAGUAAAAACAUAAGGGCCUUUUGACUGCUCACUCCUGCACUUCACACUGGGAAGGACACAGAAGUCCCCAGAGAGUGCCCUGGACGACAAAAUGUAGUUCAGAGGUAUCUAAGGUGGGUUCCACCCAAAAGGGUCCCACAAAGAAAGAAUUCCAGGGCCAAUUAAAUUUGGGGAUCUGCAUAGUCCAUCUCUCUCUUGGUGAUUCAAAACAUAUAUUUAUAUAUAUUAAAGGUUCUGAGAAGUCCUGUAAGUAAAUCCUGUUCCACUUUUUAACCCACCAUCUCCCAAACCCAGCAUGAUACUGAUAUCAGCAUGCUACUCUUUUCAUAUAACACCUACUUAUAUAUGAAGGAACUAAUUGAGGUCUUUUGAGAUAUAUUUUAGGAAAUGAUCUAACAGUGGUUUUUAACCUAAGGAAACACCUCACUAGAGAGUGCUUGGGCACAGGAGGUGGCAUUUUGGGUUGUCACAAAGAUGGGGAGGUGCUACUUGCAUUUCAUACAUAGGGGUUGUGGGGGCAGGGGCAGCUAGUGCUGUUACAGUGAUGAUGCAAUGCGGCCCCGUCCCAAGUGGGGUGGGGGGCACUGUCCUGCCCUAAAUGCCCACAACUCUCCCCACGCCGCUCUCCCACCCCAUUGAGAAGCAGUGGUUGGACCUACGCUCAGCAUUGUGCUCCCAGGCCCUCUCUGCGGGUUCAAACGCCUCUUGAUGUCCUCUUGGU
rnacentral:lncRNA from 1 species